rnacentral:lncRNA from 1 species
AUGCUAGUGGGAAAAAGAUACUGCUUGGAUUUAAAUUUUGACUCCAUGUUCUUAUCUCAGUAUGGAUUUCUCACUGUACAUUUGCCUCCCUGUCCCUUUCCAGAUGAGCUAAGUCACUUGGUUGCUGCUACUGACCUGGCUACUGGUCUGCUUUCCAUCUUUGUGCUGAGGUUCAUGAAGCUAUAGAAUGUCAAUGACACUUUUUAAGGCGCACUAUGAUACUGUCACAGCACGUUUCUAAAAGUACCAGUGGUACUUCAUCCAGAUGUCCAAUUCCUCCAGCUGUAAGGUAUGGUUUUCCAUUUGCUCUGGUCUGAAUGUUUGUGUUUCCUGCAAAAUAAGUAUGUUGAAAUCUUAACCCCGAAGGUGAUGGCAUUAGGAGGUAGGACCUUUGGGAGGUGAUUAGGUCAUGGGAGUGGAGCCCUCAUGGAUGGGAUUAGUGCCCUCAUAAAAGAUGAAGCGAGAUCUCUCCCCCCUUUCACCAUGUGAUGAAACAGUGAGAAGGCACCAUCCAUGAAAAAGAAAGUGAGCCUUCACCAGGCACUGAAUCUGCUGGCACCUUGCUCUCGCACUUCUCAGCCUCCAGAACUGUGAGAAAUCAAUUUCUGUUGUUUAUAAGCCACGCAGUUAAGGGUAUCAUAGCAGCCCAAAUGCACUAAGACGCACCUGUUACCAGCUGACAGUCAUCCCAGAUGGAUUUGGAACAUUUCUCCUGUCUGAUUUUACUUGAGGCAAGUUUCUGACAAUCUUAAUUUAGAGCCCAUUAGAGAGGACUGCAGCAGGUGUUUCUGCUCCUAUCUGCCUAAGAAUUCCCCACACCAGCCAAAUUGGCUUUUGAUGUGUUUAUGCAAAGAUGGCUUGGAGUAAUAUAUUACAACAUUAUAGAGAAGGGAAAGGAAUUUGGGCUAAGAAACUGCAAAUCAAACUGAAACAAGGAAGAUAUUAUUUUGUUAGUAGUGAAGAGAAAAAGUGAUGUUAACUUUUUUUUUUUUUUUUUUUUUUUUGAACGAGUCUAGCUUGUUCAGGCUGGAGGCAUGGCAGAUCUCAGCUCACUGCAAGCUUG